rnacentral:rRNA from 1 species
AGGUGGCAAGCGUUGUCCGGAUUUAUUGGGCGUAAAGCGAGCGCAGGCGGUUUUUUUAAGUCUGAUGUGAAAGCCUUCGGCUCAACCGAAGAAGUGCAUCGGAAACUGGGAAACUUGAGUGCAGAAGAGGACAGUGGAACUCCAUGUGUAGCGGUGAAAUGCGUAGAUAUAUGGAAGAACACCAGUGGCGAAGGCGGCUGUCUGGUCUGUAACUGACGCUGAGGCUCGAAAGUAUGGGUAGCAAACAGGAUUAGAUACCCUGGUAGUCCAUACCGUAAACGAUGAAUGCUAAGUGUUGGAGGGUUUCCGCCCUUCAGUGCUGCAGCUAACGCAUUAAGCAUUCCGCCUGGGGAGUACGGCCGCAAGGCUGAAACUCAAAGGAAUUGACGGGGGCCCGCACAAGCGGUGGAGCAUGUGGUUUAAUUCGAAGCUACGCGAAGAACCUUACCAGGUCUUGACAUACUAUGCAAAUCUAAGAGAUUAGACGUUCCCUUCGGGGACAUGGAUACAGGUGGUGCAUGGUUGUCGUCAGCUCGUGUCGUGAGAUGUUGGGUUAAGUCCCGCAACGAGCGCAACCCUUAUUAUCAGUUGCCAGCAUUAAGUUGGGCACUCUGGUGAGACUGCCGGUGACAAACCGGAGGAAGGUGGGGAUGACGUCAAAUCAUCAUGCCCCUUAUGACCUGGGCUACACACGUGCUACAAUGGAUGGUACAACGAGUUGCGAACUCGCGAGAGUAAGCUAAUCUCUUAAAGCCAUUCUCAGUUCGGAUUGUAGGCUGCAACUCGCCUACAUGAAGUCGGAAUCGCUAGUAAUCGCGGAUCAGCAUGCCGCGGUGAAUACGUUCCCGGGCCUUGUACACACCGCCCGUCACACCAUGAGAGUUUGUAACACCCAAAGUCGGUGGGGUAACCUUUUAGGAACCAGCCGCCUAAGGUGAACAGAGUUGGGA